rfam:Vibrio sp. JCM 19236 DNA, contig00002.
AAUUUAACCCGCCAAACCUAUCGCGAGGUAGGGACGGAAAGCCACGGGUCUCAAGCUAGCCAAUUGAGAUAGCCGGGUUGCAGAA